UACGAUUGGUGGGCCCAUCUCCUCUUGUCUAAUGCAUAAGCUGUAGGUAAGCCAUUGUCUGCUGUCGGUGCGGUUUUAGCGUCAGCUCUCUGUUGGCGCUCGUCAAGCUGGAAGUUUAUGGGAGCAGCAGAGUGUCCUGAUCGACGCGGAAGCAGCGUUGUUGGCCCAUCUUUUGUAGGGCAUCAAUUAUGUAGAUUUCAGCGGUGAUAAUGGAUACUUCAAAGGACCGUGCGGCGUGAAAUUUCAGGCCUUGGUUGGUUUUUUUUUUCCGUAUCGUUUCUCAGGAUCAGUUGGAGUGCAUUAUCGUUGGCUUUAUAAUCCGGAUGCGUUGAGGUGAGGGUAUUAUUUAGG